rnacentral:rRNA from 1 species
UACGAAGGGGGCUAGCGUUGUUCGGAAUCACUGGGCGUAAAGCGCACGUAGGCGGAUUUUUAAGUCAGGGGUGAAAUCCCGAGGCUCAACCUCGGAACUGCCUUUGAAACGGGAUCGCUUGAGUCCGAGAGAGGAUGGCGGAAUUCCUAGUGUAGAGGUGAAAUUCGUAGAUAUUAGGAAGAACACCGGUGGCGAAGGCGGCCAUCUGGCUCGGUACUGACGCUCAGGCGCGAAAGCGUGGGGAGCAAACAGG